rnacentral:rRNA from 1 species
GACGAACGCUGGCGGCGUGCUUAACACAUGCAAGUCGAACGGAAAGGCCCUGCUUGCAGGGUGCUCGAGUGGCGAACGGGUGAGUAACACGUGGGUGAUCUGCCCCUUACUUUGGGAUAAGCCUGGGAAACUGGGUCUAAUACUGGAUAGGACCAUGCUGUAGGUGGUGUGGUGGAAAGAUUAGUUUCGGUAAGGGAUGAGCUCGCGGCCUAUCAGCUUGUUGGUGGGGUAAUGGCCUACCAAGGCGUCGACGGGUAGCCGGCCUGAGAGGGUGGACGGCCACAUUGGGACUGAGAUACGGCGCAGACUCCUACGGGAGGCAGCAGUGGGGAAUAGUGCACAAUGGGCGCAAGCCUGAUGCAGCGACGCCGCGUGGGGGAUGACGGCCUUCGGGUUGUAAACGCCUUUCAGCCAUGACGAAGCCCUUGUGGUGACGGUAGUGGUAGAAGAAGCACCGGCUAACUACGUG